rnacentral:sRNA from 1 species
CCUAUUCCCCCAAUAAAAAUAAAAAAAAUUUCUGGGUAUGCUCAAAACUUUAAAAAUGGCAGUUGUGUUCUGGACCUCUCCAAGUGUCUUUUCAUUCAGGGAAAA